rnacentral:rRNA from 1 species
AUUGAACGCUGGCGGCAGGCCUAACACAUGCAAGUCGAGCGGAUGAAGGGAGCUUGCUCCUGGAUUCAGCGGCGGACGGGUGAGUAAUGCCUAGGAAUCUGCCUGGUAGUGGGGGAUAACGUCCGGAAACGGGCGCUAAUACCGCAUACGUCCUGAGGGAGAAAGUGGGGGAUCUUCGGAACUCACGCUAUGAGAUGAGCCUAGGUCGGAUUAGCUAGUUGGUGGGGUAAAGGCCUACCAAGGCGACGAUCCGUAACUGGUCUGAGAGGAUGAUCAGUCACACUGGAACUGAGACACGGUCCAGACUCCUACGGGAGGCAGCAGUGGGGAAUAUUGGACAAUGGGCGAAAGCCUGAUCCAGCCAUGCCGCGUGUGUGAAGAAGGUCUUCGGAUUGUAAAGCACUUUAAGUUGGGAGGAAGGGCAGUAAGUUAAUACCUUGCUGUUUUGACGUUACCAACAGAAUAAGCACCGGCUAACUUCGUG